UACGUAGGGGGCGAGCGUUGUCCGGAAUCAUUGGGCGUAAAGCGCGUGUAGGCGGCUUGGUAAGUCUGGUGUGAAAUCUUGGGGCUCAACCCCAAGCCUGCACUGGAUACUGCCUCGCUAGAGUCCGGGAGGGGAGAGCGGAAUUCCCAGUGUAGCGGUGAAAUGCGCAGAUAUUGGGAAGAACACCGGUGGCGAAGGCGGCUCUCGGGAACCGUACUGACGAUGAGACGUGAAAGCGUGGGGAGCGAACAGG
rnacentral:rRNA from 1 species